rnacentral:tRNA from 1 species
CCUCUCAUGGCGUAGUGGUAACGCGCCCCAACUAGAGAUUGAGGAGUCGUGAGUUCGAUUCUCACUGAGAAGA